GACGAAGGGGGCUAGCGUUGUCCGGAUUUAUUGGGCGUAAAGAGCGUGUAGGCGGCCCGACAGGUCCGUUGUGAAAACUCGAGGCUCAACCUCGAGACGUCGAUGGAAACCGUCGGGCUAGAGUCCGGAAGAGGAGAGUGGAAUUCCUGGUGUAGCGGUGAAAUGCGCAGAUAUCAGGAGGAACACCCGUGGCGAAAGCGGCUCUCUGGGACGGUACUGACGCUGAGACGCGAAAGCGUGGGGAGCGAACAGG
rnacentral:rRNA from 1 species